GACGAACGUUGGCGGCGUGCUUAAUACAUGCAAGUCAACUGAAGCAGUGGUAGCAAUAUCGCUGUGGAGGUGGCGCACGGGUGAGUAACACGUAGGUAAUCUGCCUUCAGGUCUGGCAUAACUCCGGGAAACCGGGGCUAAUAGCAGAUGAUGCAGCGGCUCGACAUCGAGACAGUUGUUAAAGCUAUGGCGCCUGAAGAUGAGUCUGCGUCUGAUUAGCUAGUUGGCGGGGUAACGGCCCACCAAGGCAACGAUCAGUAGCUGGUCUGAGAGGAUGAUCAGCCACACUGGAACUGAGACACGGUCCAGACUCCUACGGGAGGCAGCAGUAAGGAAUAUUGCUCAAUGGGAGAAAUCCUGAAGCAGCAACGCCGCGUGAGGGACGAAGGGCUUUUGCUUGUAAACCUCUGUAGUGAGAGAAAAAAAUCCCAAUCUUUGGGACAUGAUGGUAUCUCAAAAGUAAGCCCCGGCUAACUACGUG
rnacentral:rRNA from 1 species